AAAAUUUGGCCUGCCCACUGAAUUUUUUUGAAGGGCCGCGGUAUUUUGACCGUGCAAAGGUAGCAUAAUCAUUAKUCUUUUAAUUGAGGNCUGGAAUGAACGGUUUCACGAGGUAUUAACUGUCUCUAAAUAAAAUUUUUGAAGUUAACUUUUUAGUUAAAAGGCUAAAAUGCAAUUAAAGGACGAGAAGACCCUAUAGAGCUUUAUAUUUAUAUUGAAUUUUUAAAUUUUUAGGAAAUAUAAUUUAAUUUUUGAAUUAGAUAUUUGAUUGGGGUGAUUUGAAAAUUUAAUAAACUUUUUUUUUUGAAUACAUAGAUGAAUGGAUAUUUGAUCCAUUUUUAGUGAUUAAAAGAUUAAGUUACCUUAGGGAUAACAGCGUAAUUCUUUUAGAGAGUACAUAUCGACAAGAGAGAUUGCGACCUCGAUGUUGGAUUAAGAAUUAUUAUUGGGUGUAGUGGUUCAAUAAAUAGGUCU
rnacentral:rRNA from 1 species